AACGAACGCUGGCGGCAUGCCUAACACAUGCAAGUCGAACGAGCCCUUCGGGGCUAGUGGCGCACGGGUGCGUAACGCGUGGGAACCUGCCCUUAGGUUCGGAAUAACUCCCCGAAAGGGGUGCUAAUACCGGAUAAUGUCUUCGGACCAAAGAUUUAUCGCCUUUGGAUGGGCCCGCGUUUGAUUAGCUAGUUGGUUGGGUAAAAGGCUAACCAAGGCGACGACCAUUAGUUGGUUUGAGGGGAUGAUCAGCCACACUGGGAAUGAGACACGCCCCAAACUCCUACGGGAGGCAGCAGUGGGGAAUCUUGCGCAAUGGGCGAAAGCCUGACGCAGCCAUGCCGCGUGAAUGAUGAAGGUCUUAGGAUUGUAAAAUUCUUUCAGCUGGGAAGAUAAUGACGGUACCAGCAGAAGAAGCCCCGGCUAACUCCGUG
rnacentral:rRNA from 1 species